rnacentral:rRNA from 1 species
UACAGGGGGUGCAAACGUUGCUCGGAAUCAUUGGGCGUAAAGCGCACGUAGGCGGUCUGUUAUGUCGGAUGUGAAAGCCCUUGGCUCAACUAAGGAAGUGCAUCCGAAACUGGCAGGCUGGAGUACUAAAGAGGGUCGCGGAAUUCCUGGUGUAGCGGUGGAAUGCGCAGAUAUCAGGAGGAACACCAGCGGCGAAGGCGGCAUCCUGGACUGGUCCUGACACUCAGGAGCGAAAGCGUGGGGAGCGAUCCGG